UACGUAGGGGGCGAGCGUUGUCCGGAUUUACUGGGCGUAAAGAGUGCGUAGGUGGUUUUACAAGUCAGAUGUGAAAUGCCGCAGCUUAACUGCGGAGCUGCAUCUGAAACUGUAGGACUAGAGUACAGGAGGGGAAAGCGGAAUUCCUAGUGGAGCGGUGAAAUGCGUAGAGAUUAGGAGGAACACCGGUGGCGAAGGCGGCUUUCUGGACUGCAACUGACACUGAUGCACGAAAGCGUGGGUAGCAAACAGGAUUAGAUACCCUGGUAGUCCACGCCGUAAACGAUGGAUACUAGGUGUGGGGUCGAAAAGGCUCCGUGCCGCAGCUAACGCAAUAAGUAUCCCGCCUGGGGAGUACGGCCGCAAGGUUGAAACUCAAAGGAAUUGACGGGGGCCCGCACAAGCAGCGGAGCAUGUGGUUUAAUUCGAAGCAACGCGAAAAACCUUACCAGAACUUGACAUCCCGAUGAACAAUGUGGAGACAUAUUGGGCUUACGCAAGUAAGACAUUGGAGACAGGUGGUGCAUGGUU
rnacentral:rRNA from 1 species